GUGCCAGCCGCCGCGGUACUACCGGCAGCCCGAGUGAUGGCCGCUAUUAUUGGGCCUAAAGCGUCCGUAGCCGGCCGCGCAAGUCCGUCGGGAAAUCCACCUGCCCAACAGGUGGGCGUCCGGCGGAAACUGUGUGGCUUGGAACCGGAAGGCUCAGAGGGUACGUCCGGGGUAGGAGUGAAAUCCUAUAAUCCCGCACGGACCACCGAUGGCGAAAGCACUUCGAGAAAACGGAUCCGACAGUGAGGGACGAAAGCCAGGGUCUCCAACCGGAUUAGAAACCCUGGAGUCC
rnacentral:rRNA from 1 species